rnacentral:rRNA from 1 species
AGAGUUUGAUCAUGGCUCAGGACGAACGCUGGCGGCGUGCCUAAUACAUGCAAGUCGAGCGGAAUGAUGAAGAAGCUUGCUUCUUCUGAUUUUAGCGGCGGACGGGUGAGUAACACGUGGGCAACCUACCUUGUAGAUUGGGAUAACUCCGGGAAACCGGGGCUAAUACCGAAUAAACCAUUUUGCUUCAUGGCAAGAUGUUGAAAGGCGGCUUCGGCUGUCACUACUAGAUGGGCCCGCGGCGUAUUAGCUAGUUGGUAGGGUAAUGGCCUACCAAGGCGACGAUACGUAGCCGACCUGAGAGGGUGAUCGGCCACACUGGGACUGAGACACGGCCCAGACUCCUACGGGAGGCAGCAGUAGGGAAUCUUCCACAAUGGACGAAAGUCUGAUGGAGCAACGCCGCGUGAGUGAAGAAGGUUUUCGGAUCGUAAAACUCUGUUGUAAGGGAAGAACACGUACGAGAGUAACUGCUCGUACCUUGACGGUACCUUAUUAGAAAGCCACGGCUAACUACGUGCCAGCAGCCGCGGUAAUACGUAGGUGGCAAGCGUUGUCCGGAAUUAUUGGGCGUAAAGCGCGCGCAGGCGGUUCUUUAAGUCUGAUGUGAAAACCCACGGCUCAACCGUGGAGGGUCAUUGGAAACUGGAGAACUUGAGUACAGAAGAGGAAAGCGGAAUUCCACGUGUAGCGGUGAAAUGC